rnacentral:rRNA from 1 species
AUUGAACGCUAGCGGGAUGCCUUACACAUGCAAGUCGAACGGAGUGGCGAACGGGUGGGUAAUGUAUCGGAACGUGCCCAGUAGCGGGGGAUAACUACGCCAAAGCGUAGCUAAUACCGCAUACUAUUUGAUCUGCCGCUAUCGGAUUAGCAGGUUGGUGGGGUAACGGCUCACCAAGGCGAGGAUCCGUAGCUGGUUUGAGAGGCCGACCAGCAAAACUGGAACUGAGAAACGGCCCAGACUCCUACGGGAGGCAGCAGUGGGGAAUUUUGGACAAUGGGGGAAACCCGGAUCCAGCCAUCCCGCGUGUGCGAUGAAGGCCUUCGGGUUGUAAAGCACUUUUGGCAGGAAAGCGGUACCUGCAGAAUAAGCACCGGCUAACUACGUGCCAGCCGCCGCGGUAAUAC